UGUGCAUUUCAGCUAUGUACGCAUGGCAGACUGCUAUUACUACUAUGCCCAUCGCUUGGUUCUUUUCAUGAGCAACAGAUGCCUGGAACUGAGGUAUGGAAACUUCGUCAUGAACUGCCAUUUGCAUGGGAGGAGAAGGGCCUCAAUGAACUAUGUGGCAUGCUGAAAAUAGUAGAUGGUGACAUAAAGAAAUGCGCUGACAACUGUGGACAUGUGAUGGCGGUCCAAAACAAACCCAACUUUAAGAAGGAUAAAUCUCAAAAGAAGAAUGACAAGGCUAAAGAUACGAUCUCCAAGCCAAACCAAAAGCCCAAGGCUGGACCAGUUGUAGAUGCUGAAUGUUUUUAUUGCAAAGCAGUACUUGGCCUCUAUUAAGCAUCGCGAUGCGGAUCGUUUGCCCAUAUUUGCAAUUCGAUGCAAGGAAUUAUAAAAAGUAGAAGCGUGAAAGGAUAAGUUGAUUAUCGCGUCGACAAUAAUGCAAGAGUUGUUGCUUUGACCAUCAGGACGAUGCAACUCCACCUCCCAUCAGUAUUUAUUUUAGAGUUAAAUAAUUGUCAUCUAGUUUCUAGUAUGAGUCGAAACAUUUUAUCUCCUUCAUGUUUAAUGAAGGAUGGUUAUUCAUUUGUGAGUGAAAACAAUGGUUGUGUGAUCUCUAAGAAUGACAUGUUUGUUGCUUUUGCAUCCAUUAUGAAUGAGUUAUUUAUUUUAAAUCUUGAUGAUGAUUUGUA